rnacentral:lncRNA from 1 species
GUUUUUAUAAAUGUACAGGUUUAAGAUUAUGUACAUGUAUUAUGUUACCCAAGUCGGUCCCUUUUCUAUGAGGAUGACCACAGACCCAUCAUUGUGGCAUAAAAUGAUGUGGCACCAUCCGUGACGGUGAGUUGAGUUCACGGCGUCUCUUCUGUUUUAGUCUAUGGACUUCUGUUCAGAGGCGUAUGGAUCGAUCCUAGGAAAAAGUAAAUAAAGUCUGAUAUCUGGUGAGUGGUCGGUGUGAUUUGCCCACACUCCAUUCAUGUCUGGAUACAUGGGCUAGCUACCCUGUAUCAACCUCUGUAAUAAAAUGAACCUUCUGGACUUCGGUAUAUUUUGAAUUAUGAAAACUUAGCGUUUUGCUAAAACAAAUGAUUUUUGAAGAACUUAGCCUUUUUUCUAAAAUAAAAUAAACCUUUUUUUUUCCUCUAUCCGCACACUGGGCAAAACUUUCAAAUUUUGCUCAGACGUACGUUUUUUGUGUUUUCUUCUUUACGUCAGGUUAUCAAGACAAUCUGGGACGGGAUACAGAAGAGUGCUCGAGUAAAUUGAAAAAAAAAAACCUUAGAAAUAAUGUACUGGAUUAGAUAUCUUAUUUCCAUUAAGUUGUAAAGCCUUGUAAUACAUUUAAGUAUUAAUGGAAUUAUGUUU